CGCGUCGGUUGAAGAGGAGCAGUGGUGCUGGAGAGCUAGGGACAGGAAGAGACCAGCAGCAGACAGCGUGGUAGAGAGAGAGGGCAGAGAGGACAGAUUUGGAAAGCCCGUCUACGGUGCUGCUCCUGAGAUGACGCCGCAUCCGGUACACGUGACCGGAAGAUUGGCAGAGCCUGAGGACGGCGCCCGGCUUUGCUGUUGGCGCUGCCCAUGAGACGACAUCACUUCCGUCAAACGUCACCGAAAGUGCGGCGGAGUCCCGGAUCGGCGUGCGGCAGCGGGCACGGGAAUGAGGGAUCCUGCAAAAUAACAUUGGGACAGCAGCAAUACCAUGACACUGUGCAGAUUGCAGCCGCUCCGGAUACAAAGCAUUUCCUCAUAGACACUUCCCAACGUGACGUGCAAGCAAGGCAGACAUACAGCGCAAUUCUGAAUGCACCGUGAAGCCACGUUUUUUGGAAAUGAGUGACUGACCUUUAGUAAUCUGCCUGUCAGUUAAUUCCACAGUGUGUACAUGUGCUGCUGGAGAUGAUAAUGUAGAUAUCUGACUAUUUGAAUAAAGCCCCAGAGGAUGACUUUACUAUGUCACACAUUGUA